rnacentral:rRNA from 1 species
UCCCAGACUCCUACGGGAGGCAGCAGUAGGGAAUCUUUCACAAUGGGCGAAAGCCUGAUGGAGCAACGCCGCGUGCAGGAUGAAGGCCUUCGGGUUGUAAACUGCUUUUAUAAGCGAGAAAUAUGAUGGUAACUUAUGAAUAAGGAUCGGCUAACUACGUGCCAGCAGCCGCGGUAAUACGUAGGGUGCGAGCGUUAAUCGGAAUUACUGGGCGUAAAGAGUUCGUAGGCGGCACGUAAAGUCUGGUGUUAAAGGCAGAGGCUCAACUUCUGUACGGCACUGGAUACUUGCGAGCUAGAAUGCGGUAGAGGGAAAGGGAAUUCCUGGUGUAGCGGUGAAAUGCUUAGAUAUCAGGAGGAACAUCGGUGGCGUAAGCGCUUUACUGGGCCGUAAUUGACGCUGAGGAACGAAAGCCAGGGUAGCAAAUGGGAUUAGAUACCCGUGUACUC